rnacentral:rRNA from 1 species
AUCGAACGCUGGCGGCAGGCCUAACACAUGCAAGUCGAGCGAGCGGCGGACGGGUGAGUAAUGUCUGGGAAACCGCCUGAAGGCGGGGGAUAACUACUGGAAACGGUAGCUAAUACCGCAUACCAUCAGCUGUGCCCAGUUGGGAUUAGCUGGUAGGUGGGGUAACGGCCUACCUAGGCUACGAUCCCUAGCUGAUCUGAGAGGUUGAUCAGCCACACUGGAACUGAGACACGGUCCAGACUCCUACGGGAGGCAGCAGUGGGGAAUAUUGGACAAUGGGCGAAAGCCUGAUGCAGCCAUGCCGCGUGUGUGAAGAAGGCCUUCGGGUUGUAAAACACUGUCAGCGGGGAGGCGUUACCCACAGAGGAAGCACCGGCUAACUCCGUGCCAGCAGCCGCGGUAAUAC